rnacentral:rRNA from 1 species
AGUGAACGCUGGCGGUAGGCCUAACACAUGCAAGUCGAACGGCAGCACAGUAAGAGCUUGCUCUUACGGGUGGCGAGUGGCGGACGGGUGAGGAAUACAUCGGAAUCUACUUUUUCGUAGGGGAUAACGUAGGGAAACUUACGCUAAUACCGCAUACGACCUACGGGUGAAAGCAGGGGAUCUUCGGACCUUGCGCGAUUGAAUGAGCCGAUGUCGGAUUAGCUAGUUGGCGGGGUAAAGGCCCACCAAGGCGACGAUCCGUAGCUGGUCUGAGAGGAUGAUCAGCCACACUGGAACUGAGACACGGUCCAGACUCCUACGGGAGGCAGCAGUGGGGAAUAUUGGACAAUGGGCGCAAGCCUGAUCCAGCCAUACCGCGUGGGUGAAGAAGGCCUUCGGGUUGUAAAGCCCUUUUGUUGGGAAAGAAAAGCAGCAGGUUAAUACCCCGCUGUUCUGACGGUACCCAAAGAAUAAGCACCGACUAACUUCGUG